CCAGCGAGGAGGCUGGGGUGUGCAGGGAGCUGGGAGGGGACACAGCUGGGACAGCUGAUCCCACACCACAUGGUGUCACGCUCAGGUUAUAAAGGAAGAAGAAAGGAGGGGUCAAUUGGAGUGGUGAAGUUUGUCUUCUCUCGUCACUGUGAGGCCUGAUGGGGCCCUGUUAUCCUGGAGAUGGCUAAACACCUAUCUGACCAUGGAAACUGUAGGUCUUUGUUGCAAUUCUCUUCCUAGUAAUGAGUAUCUUCACUGACUUUGGAAAAGUUUUCGAAGUGCUUGAAGACAGGCACCUGAUUAUGCUUCUGCACUAGAGAUCCAAAAGAGCUGCAUUUAAAAUUACACAGCUCAGGAAAAGUACUUAAACUUCACUCAAGUCCUUGAAUAACAUUCAAAUCCUUCCUAGUGGCAUGUCUUUCAAGCUUUUUUGGUUCAACAGAACAAAGUUUUUGGUUGAUGUCUAAGUGAAUCACCAAAGCAGUUACUCAUUCUCAGAAAAAUACACUUGACAUCCUGCGUGUCAAACCACUAGAAACAGAAAGGACCCCUCUCAUGGACAAGUAAUAUGGAAGUAGUCAUCCUGGGCCAGUAUUUCCAGAUGAUAGUUCAGGUAAUGGGAAAAAGUACAAAUUCAAGCACUGCCAUUGCCUCUUUAAUUGGUCCCUUUGGAACUGGAAGAAGCAGUUGUUGUAGGAGUGUUACAUAAUGAAAAAAGCUGUCAUUUUCCAUCUAAACUACUUCAGGUUUUUAGUGUGUGGGGAGAAAAGUUUUGAUGGAGAAGGUUUUAUUGGUACUUUUUCUUUAAUUACAAUUAUUUUAAUUCUGAAAAUUUUAUAGGCUAUCUCAUGCUCUUCAUGUGCCUAUCAUGGCAACAUAGUUCCAAGAAAUUACAUUAAACACUAGGUAUCAUACAACUGCAUAUUGUCUUAUGAAGUAAUACUCUCAUUCAAAACAUAUUUGGACUAGGGUAUGUGAGAUUUUCUUUAUUGGUAUUCCUCAAGAAAAGAUUAUAUAUCUUUUGUGAGAGUGACUCUUUUCUGUGAAUGAGGUUUGCAGCAUACCAGGGGAAUCUC